rnacentral:rRNA from 1 species
UACGGGGGGAGCAAGCGUUGUUCGGAUUUACUGGGCGUAAAGGGCGCGUAGGCGGUCAGCACAAGUCAGUUGUGAAAUCUCCGAGCUUAACUCGGAAAGGUCAACUGAUACUGUGCGACUAGAGUGCAGAAGGGGCAACUGGAAUUCCAGGUGUAGCGGUGAAAUGCGUAGAUAUCUGGAGGAACACCGGUGGCGAAGGCGGCAUCCUGGACCGGCAUUGACGCUGAGGCGCGAAAGCCAGGGGAGCAAACGGG